UGUUCUAUUUCUUACUUAGUCGAUCGUGUGCUGCGGCGUGGUUUGAACGCGUCUAGUUGAGCGGCGAUUUUCGUGAUGAUUUAUCGCAUUUCUUGUGAUUUUAAGUCGGUAGUUGAAUUAGAUUCUGCCAGCAAAAAAAGAAUUUGAAUUACCAGACAAGUGCGGCGUAUAGUUAUUGAGAUAUCGUGCGUCCGGAAUUGUAAAAUACGCAGGUGGAUGUGGAAGCGGGUCAUCAAUCUGCACUUAUAGGAGUUUACACCUAAGUCUGACAUCGUAGAAGGACCAUUCUUGCAUGAGAUUUGGUAUUGCACCUGGGUCUAGCAUCGUAAAAUGACCAUUCUUGCAUCAGAUUGGCUAAUUUUUGCUGGUUUUAUGGACAUUGCACCUGAGUCUGACAUCGUAGGAUAACCAUUCUUGCAUCAGAUUGUGUUCUGCACCCGAGCCUGAUGUCGUAGGAGAACCAUUCUUGCAUCAGAUUGUAAGUAAUUAAUUUCUUUAUCAUUUUCACACAUAAUUUAUAUGAACAACUUAUGAAUUAGCGAAAAAAAAUUCCUUUUUUGUGUUUCGAAGCACUGAUUUUGCUGGUUUUCGGGAUUUAGCACAUGAACGCGUAAUAUCAGCGAGGUCCCUAAAGAUGUAAAAUUUAAUUCAUCAUUGCGUUAUAUUCUAAUGUCGUAGGAGAUGUACCUGUAGAACGUGUAUUGUUAGAUAAAUUGUACGUUUCGUACGUCGUUAUGUCGAUAACUUGUAUCUGUUUGUUUAUCACGAAGUAUAGGUUUACAUUUAGUCAUUUUGAAUAGUAUAUGGAUUAUAUAUAA